rnacentral:rRNA from 1 species
UUGACACCGUAACUUCGGAAGAAGGUGUGCCUUUAGUAGGUGAACCUGUACAAGGGGAGCCCAAUGAGGUUGCAAAAAAUCGGUGGCUGCGACUGUUUAAUAAAAACACAGCACUCUGCAAACACGAAAGUGGACGUAUAGGGUGUGACGCCUGCCCGGUGCUGGAAGAUUAAAUGAUGGGGUGCAAGCUCUUGAUUGAAGUCCCAGUAAACGGCGGCCGUAACAAUAACGGUCCUAAGGUAGCGAAAUUCCUUGUCGGGUAAGUUCCGACCUGCACGAAUGGCGUAACGAUGGCCACACUAUCUCCUCCUGAGACUCAGCGAAGUUGAAAUGUUUGUGAUGAUGCAAUCUCCCCGCGGAAAGACGGAAAGACCCCAUGAACCUUUACUGUAGCUUUGUAUUGGACUUUGAACAGAUCUGUGUAGGAUAGGUGGGAGGCUUUGAAGUGUGGUCGCUAGAUCGCAUGGAGCCAGCGUUGAAAUACCACCCUGGUGUGUUUGAGGUUCUAACCUAGGCCCGUAAUCCGGGUCGGGGACAGUGCAUGGUAGGCAGUUUGACUGGGGCGGUCUCCUCCCAAAGCGUAACGGAGGAGUUCGAAGGUACGCUAGGUACGGUCGGACAUCGUGCUAAUAGUGCAAUGGCAUAAGCGUGCUUAACUGCGAGACUGACAAGUCGAGCAGAUGCGAAAGCAGGACAUAGUGAUCCGGUGGUUCUGUAUGGAAGGGCCAUCGCUCAACGGAUAAAAGGUACUCUGGGGAUAACAGGCUGAUACCGCCCAAGAGUUCAUAUCGACGGCGGUGUUUGGCACCUCGAUGUCGGCUCAUCUCAUCCUGGGGCUGUAGCCGGUCCCAAGGGUAUGGCUGUUCGCCAUUUAAAGAGGUACGUGAGCUGGGUUUAAAACGUCGUGAGACAGUUUGGUCCCUAUCUUCCGUGGGCGCUGCAGAUUUGAGGAAGCCUGCUCCUAGUACGAGAGGACCGGAGUGGACACACCUCUGGUGUAUCGGUUGUCACGCCAGUGGCAUUGCCGAGUAGCUAUGUGUGGAAGAGAUAACCGCUGAAAGCAUCUAAGCGGGAAACUCGUUUCAAGUGAGAUCUGCCGGGGCCUUGAGCCCCCUAAAGAGUCGUUCAAGACCAGGACGUUGAUAGGUCGGGUGUGGAAGCGCAGUAAUGCGUUAAGCUAACCGAUACUAAUUGCUCGUGCGGCUUGACCAA